GGAGAGGUGCCGGAGUGGUCGAUCGGGACGGUUUCGAAAACCGUAGUCCUCUUUAUAGGGGACCCUGGGUUCGAAUCCCAGCCUCUCCGCCA
rnacentral:tRNA from 1 species